GCCUAUUCCUAUAGCUCAGCUGGUAGAGCAACUGAUUUGUAAUCAGUAGGUCCGCGGUUCGAGUCCGUGUGGGGGCACCA
rnacentral:tRNA from 1 species